AUACUUACGUAGCAGAAGAGGUAGAAAGAACAUGAAGCUGAUUUUUCCCAGGGUGAGGCCUAUCCAUUGCAUUCUGGAUAUGUGACUUCUCUGAGUAUGGGAAAAUCUCCUGCCUAAUUUGUGGUAGUGGGAAACUCCAUUUGUGUUCUACCAU
rnacentral:snRNA from 1 species